GGUCAAUGUGUUAUACUACCAGUCUCCUGAUGGGAGAGACAGGACAGGAGGUCAAUGUGUUAUACUACCAGUCUCAUGGGAGAGACAGGACAGUAGGUCAAUGUGUUAUACUACCAGUCUCCUGAUGGGAGAGACAGGACAGUAGGUCAAUGUGUUCUACUACCAGUCUGAUGGGAG